UCGUCGACUACUAGUGGAGACUCGGUCGGAAAGCAGGGCCACUUUGAACACGGGCUACUUCUGCUGUUACUACGAUUGCUCAAUGGACACUGCUGCUCACCACUGACCGUUGAACACCGAAGGGGGAAAAGACCUUCGAUCGAUGGUGGCAACGUGAUCCAGUUGCACUGGCCAAAUAAACGUGAAUCUGGAGUGAAACGGCGUAACAAAGCAUUGAGGCAGUAAAGAAAAAUGCCGAUCGCUUUUGUGCAUUCAGUCAUUUAUGUCUUAGACACACGCUCGCGCCCCAACUUGGACGAAGUGGAUUAUCGACUUCGGACCGCGCGAGGCCGGGGCAGAUGUCUGCCAGUUUUAGAAGCGUAUCGUAGUUGAGCAGAGCACGCGCGUUGCAGCUGAGACGACGAGCGCAAGGACAAAUGAUGCUUAGGCGAAUACCUAGAUGAAUGAGGAGUGACAUUCAGCCGUUUUUCCAAGCCAUUGUUGACGUGCUGGUAGAAGCCGUUGCUGUUUCUGCUUGUAGUCCGCCGAUCCAUUAACUUGAACUACAAAGACUUUCAGGAGAGCAUGGUUGGUCGACUGCCGUCGCCGCAGCAACUGCGGCAUACAGGGCUCAUUAAUGCCCAGAGAUGUAGGUAAGAUGAAUCUGGCCACUGUCUCCCCCUACGACCGUCGUUCCUAACACCACAGCCACCCACUAAUUUUGCCCGACGAUUUAGGAGAAAUAUGUCAAUCCGGCCGAGGAAGUUAGAGCUGUUGGAGUUUCAGCUGUAGCAUACCUCCAUUCGACGGUGGAGUCAUCCUUUUCAUCUCACACGUACGACAUCGCGGUGGUUCUCUGACUUUCGAUAGCGACGUCCUCUAAUUCGACGUAAACAGCUUCUGGGGUCCUAAUGAUGGUAGCGUUGGGAGGUCAGGGCGGCACUCGACUUACCCGUUGCCUCGGACUCAGGUUCCGGAUCGAUCGGUAGCAGAAGACUUCGAGUUCAACAGGUGGAGCUGGUUUCUGGAAAAACUGGCGAAGGGCG